CGCUAGCUACAGGCUUAACACAUGCAAGUCGAGGGGAAACGACAUCGAAAGCUUGCUUUUGAUGGGCGUCGACCGGCGCACGGGUGAGUAACGCGUAUCCAACCUGCCCACCACUUGGGGAUAACCUUGCGAAAGUAAGACUAAUACCCAAUGACGUCUCUAGAAGACAUCUGAAAGAGAUUAAAGAUUUAUCGGUGAUGGAUGGGGAUGCGUCUGAUUAGCUUGUUGGCGGGGUAACGGCCCACCAAGGCAACGAUCAGUAGGGGUUCUGAGAGGAAGGUCCCCCACAUUGGAACUGAGACACGGUCCAAACUCCUACGGGAGGCAGCAGUGAGGAAUAUUGGUCAAUGGACGAGAGUCUGAACCAGCCAAGUAGCGUGCAGGAAGACGGCCCUAUGGGUUGUAAACUGCUUUUAUAAGGGAGUAAAGUGAGAGUCGUGACUCUUUUUGCAUGUACCUUAUGAAUAAGGACCGGCUAAUUCCGUGCCAGCAGCCGCGGUAAUACGGAAGGUCCGGGCGUUAUCCGGAUUUAUUGGGUUUAAAGGGAGCGUAGGCCGGAGAUUAAGCGUGUUGUGAAAUGUAGAUGCUCAACAUCUGAACUGCAGCGCGAACUGGUUUCCUUGAGUACGCACAAAGUGGGCGGAAUUCGUGGUGUAGCGGUGAAAUGCUUAGAUAUCACGAAAAAGUCCGAUUG
rnacentral:rRNA from 1 species